GAUCUUUUUGUAGAAGCAGUUUUGAGUGAUGAGGUCUGACACGGAGGCCAAGCCGUGGACGUUAAUGGCAGCGUAGAAGCUGGAGAGAGCUUCAGAGUUCAGACACAGAUGUGGGAGCUGUUCGGGACGCAAUGUCGAUGGCUGUCUCCCACCACGCAGCUGCUUUUACAGACGGACUACAGGAUGUGAACUAUUGCCACCGAGUGAUGGUUGUUGGUUUCAAACUAUUGCCAGAAAGGUGAGUGAGAAGUUUCAUCUCAUUGGUUAAGUUUGCCAGCGGUGGAGAGAUCAACAAGAAGAUGGCGGCCUCUAGAUUAGGUUUAGUGUUAUUUUUUUUUUUUAAUUUUGUUUAAUGGUAUAAACCGGUUCAAAUAUUUUGUAAACCUGUUUUAAUAUAUACAUUCUAUGUUUAUCUAUAUUCUACAGUGAUGAGAGGACGAGAUCUUUGUAGAAGCAGUUUUGAGUGAUGAGGUCUGACACGGAGGCCAAGCCGUGGACGUUAAUGGCAGCGUAGAAGCUGGAGAGAGCUUCAGAGUUCAGACACAGAUGUGGGAGCUGUUCGGGACGCAAUGUCGAUGGCUGUCUCCCACCACGCAGCUGCUUUUACAGACGGACUACAGGAUGUGAACUACUGCCACCGAGUGAUGGUUGUUGGUUUCAAACUAUUGCCAGAAAGGUUUAUUCUUUGGACUGGACACCUGAGAUGAACCAGAUUGUCAGUGCAUCUCAACAAGACACGCUCAGUUAGAAGAGAAAAGUGAUGGAAAAGGGAAAGACACAACCAAAGGGCCAAUUGAUAAAGUGCUGAAAAUGCAAUCGUUUAGAUCUUGAAAAGAUACUGAAAAUGUGGGAGAUUGGCACAUUUCUCCAUUAGAGUUACUCCACAGUGGUCCUUUGCUUGAUUUUGAUCUUCUUCCAGGAUGUUGUUCUUCAAUGGCUGCCUUGAGUUUACCGUCUCUACCAAAUGUCCUUAUCUCAGACACUUGUGGAGAAGCUUAUGGUCUCUGUCAAAGCUGCAGAGCCUUUUCAACCAGAUAUCUUUCCAUACUUCACAGGCCAGGAAUCUAAAACAGAGACGCACAUAGCUACGAAAUGUUGUCUCUGAGACCCCGCAAAUGUUUGAGACAAACGACUGUUGUUAGUUUAUUUCACUAUGUAUCUCUACAGACUCAGCUUUGUAUUGACAAGCUUUUUCAUGAGAAGAACAAUAUGCAUUUACAAAACAGCUUCCUUAUUGUUUUCA